AGUGGCAGACGGGUGAGUAACAACGUGGGUAACCUACCUCAGAGACUGGGGAUAACAGUUAGAAAUGAUUGCUUAAAUACCGGAUGAUUCAUAGUUAGAUAACUAAUUAUGCUAAAAGGAGCAUUUGCUUCACUUUGAGAUGGGCUUGCGUUGUAUUAGUUAGUUGGUGGGGUAAUGGCCUACCAAGACAACGAUGCAUAUCCGAGCUGAGAGGCUGAUCGGACACACUGGGACUGAGAUACGGCCCAGACUCCUACGGGAGGCAGCAGUGGGGAAUUUUGCGCAAUGGGGCAACCCUGACGCAGCAACGCCGCGUGCGGGAUGACGGCCUUCGGGUUGUAAACCGCUUUCAGCAGGGAAGACCGACGACGGUACCUGCAGAAGAAGCCCCGGCUAACUACGUGCCAGCAGCCGCGGUAAUACGUAGGGGGCGAGCGUUAUCCGGAUUCAUUGGGCGUAAAGCGCGCGUAGGCGGCGCGCCAAGCGGAACCUCUAACCUCGGGGCUCAACCUCGAGCCGGGUUCCGAACUGGCGCGCUCGAGUUCGGUAGAGGCAGGCGGAAUUCCCGGUGUAGCGGUGGAAUGCGCAGAUAUCGGGAAGAACACCGAUGGCGAAGGCAGCCUGCUGGGCCGACACUGACGCUGAGGUGCGAAAGCUAGGGGAGCGAGCAGGAUUAGAUACCCUGGUAGUCCUAGCCGUAAACGAUGGACGCUAGGUGUGGGGAGGAUCGCCUCUCCGUGCCGAAGCCAACGCAU
rnacentral:rRNA from 1 species